rnacentral:rRNA from 1 species
UACGUAGGGUGCGAGCGUUAAUCGGAAUUACUGGGCGUAAAGCGUGCGCAGGCGGUUUUGUAAGCCAGAUGUGAAAUCCCCGGGCUUAACCUGGGAAUGGCAUUUGGGACUGCAAGGCUCGAGUGCGGCAGAGGAGACUGGAAUUCCUGGUGUAGCAGUGAAAUGCGUAGAUAUCAGGAGGAACACCGAUGGCGAAGGCAGGGCUGUGGGCUGACACUGACGCUCAUGCACGAAAGCGUGGGGAGCAAACAGG